AACCUCUGCAAUAGGCGAAAGCUUGACAGGGUUACUCUGAGUGAUUUCCGUUAAGGAGAUCUUUUGGCACCUCUAAAAAUGGUGCAGAAUAAGGGGUGGGCAAGUCUGGUGUCAGCCGCCGCGGUAAUACCAGCACCCCGAGUGGUCGGGACGUUUAUUGGGCCUAAAGCAUCCGUAGCCGGUUCUACAAGUCUUCCGUUAAAUCCACCUGCUCAACAGAUGGGCUGCGGAAGAUACUAUGGAGCUAGGAGGCGGGAGAGGCAAGCGGUACUCGAUGGGUAGGGGUAAAAUCCGUUGAUCCAUUGAAGACCACCAGUGGCGAAGGCGGCUUGCCAGAACGCGCUCGACGGUGAGGGAUGAAAGCUGGGGGAGCAAACCGGAUUAGAUACCCGGGUAGUCCCAGCUGUAAACGAUGCAGACUCGGUGAUGAGUUGGCUUUAUGCCAACUCAGUGCCGCAGGGAAGCCGUUAAGUUGCCGCCUGGGGAGUACGUCCGCAGCAAUCUU
rnacentral:rRNA from 1 species